GUAUCUUCGGAUAUGAGUAGAGCGGCGGACGGGUGAGUAACGCGUAGGAAUCUACCUAGUAGAAGGGGAUAGCCCGGGGAAACCCGGAUUAAUACCGUAUACCUCCUUCGGGAGAAAGAAGGCCUCUCUUUGAAGCUUUCGCUACUAGAUGAGCCUGCGUAAGAUUAGCUUGUUGGUGAGGUAAAGGCUCACCAAGGCGACGAUCUUUAGCUGGUCUGAGAGGACGAUCAGCCACAUUGGGACUGAGACACGGCCCAGACUCCUACGGGAGGCAGCAGUGGGGAAUAUUGGACAAUGGGCGCAAGCCUGAUCCAGCCAUACCGCGUGUGUGAAGAAGGCCUUCGGGUUGUAAAGCACUUUAAGCAGGGAGAAAAAGUUAUAAGUUAAUACCUUAUAACCCUGAUGUUACCUGCAGAAUAAGCACCGGCUAAUUCCGUGCCAGCAGCCGCGGUAAUACGGAAGGUGCAAGCGUUAAUCGGAAUUACUGGGCGUAAAGCGCGCGUAGGUGGUUUGUUAAGUUGGAUGUGAAAGCCCUGGGCUUAACCUAGGAACUGCAUCCAAAACUAACUCACUAGAGUACGAUAGAGGGAGGUAGAAUUCAUAGUGUAGCGGUGGAAUGCGUAGAUAUUAUGAAGAAUACCAGUGGCGAAGGCGGCCUCCUGGAUCUGUACUGACACUGAGGUGCGAAAGCGUGGGUAGCGAACAGGAUUAGAUACCCUGGUAGUCCACGCCGUAAACGAUGACAAC
rnacentral:rRNA from 1 species